UGGGUAGUCCGCACGAGCGCACCCUGAUCCUUAGUUGCCAGCACAUAAUGGUGGGGACUCUAAGGAGACUGCCUGGGAUAACCAGGAGGAAGGUGGGGAUGAUGUCAAGUCAGUAUGUCCCUUAUGUCCAGGGUCUACACACGUGUUACAAUGGCCGGUACAAUGGGCUGCAAUCCCGCGAGGGCAAGCUAAUCCCAAAAAACCGGCCCCAGUUCAGAUUGGAGUCUGCAACUCGACUCCAUGAAGGAGGAAUCGCUAGUAAUCGCGCAUCAGCACGGCGCGGUGAAUACGUUCCCGGGUCUUGUACACACCGCCCGUCAAGCCAUGGAAGUCGGCAGUACCCGAAGCCGGUGGCCCAACCCCGAUUUAUUGGGGAGGGAACCGUCGAAGGUAAGGCCGGUAACUGGGGCUAAGUCGUAACAAGGUAGCCGUACCGGAAGGUGCGGCUGGAUCACCUCCUUUCU
rnacentral:rRNA from 1 species